UACGUAGGGCGCAAGCGUUGUCCGGAAUUAUUGGGCGUAAAGAGCUCGUAGGCGGCUUGGCAAGUCGGGUGUGAAACCUCCAGGCUCAACCUGGAGACGCCACUCGAUACUGCUAUGGCUAGAGUCCGGUAGGGGACCACGGAAUUCCUGGUGUAGCGGUGAAAUGCGCAGAUAUCAGGAGGAACACCGGUGGCGAAGGCGGUGGUCUGGGCCGGCACUGACGCUGAGGAGCGAAAGCGUGGGUAGCAAACAGG
rnacentral:rRNA from 1 species